UGUAUAGAGGAUGCACAAGAUGCAAUCAAAGAAGUAAGAGCGGCGAUCGCAAGUGCUGGAAAAUUGACAGAUGAAAUUGAAAAAGCACUUAAAGAAUUGGAAGAGAAAGUUAAAAAGAUUGUCAAGGAUAUCACUGACAAGGAAUAAAUUUUAGUUUACAAUAACAGUUGUAAAGUAUUGAAUAAAUAAUAAUA